rnacentral:rRNA from 1 species
AUGCAAGAGGCAAAGAAAUCAAUGAAAGAAAAAGGUAUUAAAGCCGAAGAUGUUAAGAAUUUACCUCCUAUUGAAGAAAUACAUGGUCUUAAUAUACCGCAUGUUGAAGAACCACAUUGUCUUGAUAACCCGACACAGGUAGUAAAGGUAAAUUCUCUCUAUAGAUAUGAUAAAGUUGAAAUCCCCUCUACUAAAUUUCAUAGCCCAUGCUUAGAUGAAUUUGAUGACUUUAUGUGUAGACAAGAAAGUUUUAAUGCUUAUGUUGGUAGAGAGUUAAAGAAUAAUGCUUUCGAGAUAGGACGCGUGAGCGAUAAUAUGGCUAGAGUUAAAGGUGAACUCAAACUCAUUAGCAAAUAUGCUUCUAUGGUUGCUACUCAAGCUGAGCAAGUGCUCAAAGCUCAAGAUGAUUUGCUUGAUGAAUUAAAUAAUAAAAAUGACUUUGCUGUUAGAGUGGCUACUAGAACUGGUAGAAUGACUCAGGAACCUUUGUAUCCUGAAGGCCACCCUAAGAGAAUCGAGCAAGAUUCUCAGAGAAAUAAUUUAGAGGCACCUAGUUCUUCCAAAAAGAAGAAAAAGGAAAACGAUAGGACUUUGCAUGCUUCUAGUGAACCUACUGUAGACACACCUAAGAAUCCCAAUGAUAUUUCUGUUUCUGAUGCUGAAACACAAUCAUGUGAUGAACAUGAACCUAGUGAUAAUGUUAAUGAUAAUGUUCAUGUUGAUACUCAACCUAUCAAAAAUAAUGAAGUAGAGAUUGAACCCGCUGUUGAUCUUGAUAACCCACAAUCAAAGAAUCAACGUUAUGAUAAGAGAGAUUUUUUUCUAAGAAAGACAGUAGAGAAAGAGAACCAUGGGUUCAGAAACCCAUGCCCUUUCCUCCUAAACCAUCCAAGACAAAGGACGAUGAGGAUUUUGAGCGCUUUGCUGAAAUGA